rfam:Candidatus Brocadia sinica JPN1 DNA, contig: brosiA.
CAAGUCCCGUCAUGGCAAAAGCCGGAAGCCAUGUAGCUUGGAUGGCAUGGGGUGAUGGAAACGUUACCUUUUGAAGCCCAUCGACAAAGUGUCGCAAGGCGGCAUGAGCAACUAUCCGGGUUGUAACGAGAGUGAACGUAGAAGUAGCCUCGUAAAGAUUGAUAUCCACUGGCCGAACCUCUUCAAUUUAGGUGAAGGCAGAACCGAUGUAUUGAUACUGGCGUGACGAUACAAAGGCGGUGGCGGGGUAGCAGCGGC